rnacentral:rRNA from 1 species
GUAGGUGGCAAGCGUUGUCCGGAAUUAUUGGGCGUAAAGCGCGCGCAGGCGGUCCUUUAAGUCUGAUGUGAAAGACCCACGGGCUCAACCGUGGAGGGUCAUUGGAAACUGGGGGACUUGAGUACAGAAGAGGAAAGCGGAAUUCCACGUGUAGCGGUGAAAUGCGUAGAGAUGUGGAGGAACACCAGUGGCGAAGGCGGCUUUCUGGUCUGUAACUGACGCUGAGGCGCGAAAGCGUGGGGAGCAAACAGGAUUAGAUACCCUGGUAGUCCACGCCGUAAACGAUGAGUGCUAAGUGUUAGGGGGUUUCCGCCCCUUAGUGCUGCAGCUAACGCAUUAAGCACUCCGCCUGGGGAGUACGGCCGCAAAGGCUG